AAUAUUUUAUCAUUCUUAAUUUUCCAUAUCUCUAUAUGUUGCUGCCUGUUCAACUAAGAACCCUGUAAAUAUGGAGCCUUAAAAUAAUCACAAGAUAAUUGGACAUUGUUAUUUAGUCACUCCCCCUCUCCAACAAAGAAUUAUAUGGCCCCAAAUGUCAAAAAUAUUGAGAUUGAGAAAUGCUGAGAUAGAGGAAAGUGCUAUGCAAAAAUAAACAGCAUAACGUGAUUGAAUGACAGAAAAGGUGGAAGUCAGAAAGGACCUUUGUGGAAGAUAACAAACUGAGACUCAAAGACAAAAAGAAGGCAGCCAUGUUGAAAUUCGGUGAGAGCUGGACAGGCCAAGAGAAGAGCGCAUACAGUUAUCUCAAGUCAGAAACACACUGGAAUGUUUAGAGACGAUGCUGGAGAAAUAGAGAGGGGGCAGAGAAAGUGGAACUACAAUUCCGUACAGUAAUAACAAGGAUGAUGG